AGAAUAGCUAAGAAGAGCACAUGAUGAAUACCUUGGCACUAACAGGCGAUGAAGGACGCAAAAAGUUGCGAUAAGCUUCGGGGAGUGACAAUUACGCUUCGAUCCGAAGAUUUCCGAAUGGGGUAACCCCUGCCGCAAGGCAGUCCACCCGCAAGGGUGUUGAGUCAAACCCGGUGAAGUGAAACAUCUCAGUAACCGGAGGAAAAUAAAGAAAUAAUCGAUUCCGUGAGUAGUGGCGAGCGAAACCGGAAGAGCCCAAACCGCCCGUUCUCGGGCGGGGUUGUAGGGCCCCAUCACGCAAAGUUCCCACGGUCAGUUAACGUCCUGGAAAGGGCGACCACAGAGAGUGAUAGUCUCGUGACUGACUUAAGAGCAAUGCAGGGUGUCCCUGAGUAAUGCGACAUACGCGAAGUUUCGCAUGAAUCCACGGCGACCGCGCCGUAAGGCUAAAUACUCGUUAGUGACCGAUAGUGAACUAGUACCGCGAGGGAAAGGUGAAAAGCACCGCUGUGAGCGGAGUGAAAUAGAACUUGCAAUCAUGUGUUUACAAGGCGUCGAAGCACUUUGUGCGACGGCGUGCCUUUUGCUUAAUGAGUCUGCGAGUUAUUGUUGGUGGCACGCAUAUGCCCUUCCGGGGCGCAUGCACAGCGAAAGCAAGUCUGAAACAGACACUUGUCGCCAGCAGUAGACCCGAAGCCGAGGUGACCUACCCAUGAACAGGAUGAAACACUGGUAAUACAGUGUGGAGGUCCGAACCGGUGAAUGUUGAAAAAUUCUCGGAUGAUUUGUGGGUAGGAGCGAAAGACUAAUCAAACCCGGUGAUAGCUGGUUCUCCCCGAAAUAGCUUGAGGGCUAGCCUUGGAUGCUGACCUGCGGAGGUAGAGCACUGGAUGAACUAGGGUCCAUACCCGGAUACCGAACUCAAUCAAACUCCGAAUGCCGCAGGGUGAAAUCCAGGAGUCAGUGCGUGAGGGAUAAGCUUCACGCGCGAGAGGCAAACAUGCCAGAUCAACAGCUAAGGUGCCGAAAUACCAGGUAGUGGAAAGGAUGUGAAGUUACUUAGACAAUGAGGAUGUUGGCUUAGAGGCAGCCAUCAUUUAAACAGUGCGUAAUAGCUGACUCAUCGAGUGAUUUCGCGCCGAAAAUGAUUGGCGAUUACUGGUAUACCGAAGCUUUGGAUGCCGCCGCGUAAAGCGGCGGUUUGGUAGGGGAGCGUUGCGUAACGAUGAAGCUUCGACGUAAGUCGGGGUCGAGUGAUCGCAAGUGAGAAUGCAGACAUGAGUAACGAUAAGCCGGGCAAGAAUCCCGGCCGCCGUAAGCCCAAGGUUUCCUAGGCAAGGGUCGUCCUCCUAGGGUUAGUCGGGUCCUAAGCCGUAGCCGAUGGGCACAGGCGAUGGAAAGCAGGUUUAAUAUUCCUGCACUUGGGUGGUUAAGCUGCCAGAUACGUGGCGAUGGAGACACGAGGUUAUUGAUUCCGAGCCCGAAAGGGUCGGUCACCGGCUUGCCGGUGGCAGAUGGAUCCUCCGCCCGUCAAGAAAAGCCUGGACAGCGUUCCCAUUCAAUCCGUACCGCAAACCGACACAGGUGGGCUGGUAUAUAUUACCAAGGCGCGUGAGUGAAACCCCGUUAAGGAACUCGGCAAUCUAGCCCCGUAACUUUGGAAGAAGGGGUGCCUUUGAUUAGGCCGCAGUGAAGAGGGUCAACCGACUGUUUAACAAAAACACAGCACUCUGCUAAAUCGAAAGAUUACAUAUAGGGUGUGACACGUGACCAAUGCGGUAAGAUUACGGUAAGCGGUUAGUCGCAAGACGAAGCUGCGAGCCCAAGUCCCCGUGAAUGUCGGCCGUAACUAUAACGGUCCUAAGGUAGCGAAAUUCCUUGUCGGGUAAGUUCCGACCUGCACGAAUCGUGUAACGAGUUGACCGCUGUCUCAACGAGGAGCUCAGUGAAUUUGUAUUGGCGGUGAAGAUGCCGCCUACCCGCAGUAGGACGGAAAGACCCUAUGCACCUUUACUAUACGCUGUUACUGCUUUUUCGAUUUUGAUGCUUAGCGUAACUGGGAGACUUUGAAACGGGAUUUUUGGAUCUCGUCGAGUCGACAAUGAAACACCAGCCUUUAAGAUUGAAGAAGCUAACCCCCACAAGGGGGACAAUGGCAGCCGGUUAGUUUUACUGGGGCGGUAUCCUCCCAAAGUGUAACGGAGGAUUACGAAGGUUGGCUCAACCUGGUUGAUAAUCAGGUGACGAGUACAUGGAUAUAUGCCAGCCUAACUGUGAGACACACACGUCGAGCAGAAACGAAAGUUGGUCCAAGUGAUCCGGUGGUUGAAAGUGGAAUCGCCAUCGCUAAAAGGACAAAAGGUACGCUAGGGAUAACAGGCUGAUCAAGCCCAAGAGUUCAUAUCGACGGCUUGGUUUGGCACCUCGAUGUCGGCUCAUCACAUCCUGGGGCUGGAGAAGGUCCCAAGGGUCCGGCUGUUCGCCGGUUAAAGUGGUACGCGAGCUGGGUUCAGAACGUCGCGAGACAGUUCGGUCCUUAUCCACUGUGGGCGUUGGAAAAUUGAGGGGUUCAGUCCCUAGUACGAGAGGACCGGGACUGACGAACCGCUGGUGUUCCAGUUGUCGCAUCCGCGGCAGUGCUGGGUAGCUAAGUUCGGAAUGGAUAAGCGCUGAAAGCAUCUAAGCGCCAAGCCAAUCCCAAGAUGAGUUUUCCUUCAGGGUGGAGGUAGACAACCUCUUUGAUAGGUCGCUGAUGAAAAAUUGGUAACAGUUGCGUCUAGCGAAACUAAUUACCCGAAUGCUAUUCUUG
rfam:Verrucomicrobia bacterium SCGC AG-212-E04 AG-212-E04.13, whole genome shotgun sequence.